rnacentral:SRP_RNA from 1 species
GCCGGGCAUGUGGCACGUGCCUGUAGUCCCAGCUACUCGGGAGGCUGAGGUGGGAGGAUCGCUUGAGCCCAGGAAUGCUGGGCUGUAGUGCGCUAUGCCAAUCAGGUGUCCACACUAAGUUCGGCAUCGAUAUGGUGACCUCCCGGGAGCGUGGGACCACCAGGUUGCCUAAGAAGGGGUGAACCGGUCCAGGUCGGAAACGGAGCAGGUCAAAACUCCCAUGCUGAUCAGUAGUGGGAUCACGCCUGUGAAUAGCCACUGCACUCCAGCCUGGGCAACAUAGUGAGACCCCGUCCCC